rnacentral:rRNA from 1 species
UACGAAGGGUGCUAGCGUUGUUCGGAAUUACUGGGCGUAAAGGGCGCGUAGGCGGUUCUGCAAGUUGGAUGUGAAAGCCCGGGGCUCAACCCCGGAAUUGCAUUCAAGACUGCAUUACUUGAAUUCGGUAGAGGUUGGUGGAAUUCCCAGUGUAGAGGUGAAAUUCGUAGAGAUUGGGAAGAACACCCGUGGCGAAGGCGGCCAACUGGACCGACAUUGACGCUGAGGCGCGAAAGCGUGGGGAUCAAACAGG